UACGUAGGGGGCAAGCGUUGUCCGGAUUUCUUGGGCGUAAAGAGCGUGUAGGCGGCUUUACAGGUCCGUUGUGAAAACUCGAGGCUCAACCUCGAGACGCCGGUGGAAACCGUAAGGCUAGAGUCCGGAAGAGGAGAGUGGAAUUCCUGGUGUAGCGGUGAAAUGCGCAGAUAUCAGGAGGAACACCGGUGGCGAAGGCGGGUCUCUGGGCCGAUACUGACGCUGAGGAGCGAAAGCGUGGGGAGCGAACAGG
rnacentral:rRNA from 1 species